GACUUUAUAUUCAAUUAUGAUAUUAAAUUGCAAAUUUAAAGGUGUAAAUUACUAAAGUCU
rnacentral:tRNA from 1 species